AGUGAACGCUGGCGGUAGGCCUAACACAUGCAAGUCGAACGGCAGCACAGUAAGAGCUUGCUCUUACGGGUGGCGAGUGGCGGACGGGUGAGGAAUACAUCGGAAUCUACUUUUUCGUGGGGGAUAACGUAGGGAAACUUACGCUAAUACCGCAUACGACCUACGGGUGAAAGCAGGGGAUCUUCGGACCUUGCGCGAUUGAAUGAGCCGAUGUCGGAUUAGCUAGUUGGCGGGGUAAAGGCCCACCAAGGCGGCGAUACGUAGCUGGUCUGAGAGGAUGAUCAGCCACACUAGAACUGAGACACGGCCCAGACUCCUACGAGAGGCAGCAGUGGGGAAUAUUGGACAGUGGGCGCAAGCAUGAUCCAGCCAUACCGCGUGGGUGAAGAAGGCCUUCGGGUUGUAAAGCCCUUUUGUUGGGAAAGAAAAGCAUCAGGUUAAUACCCCGCUGUUCUGACGGUACCCAAAGAAUAAACACCGGCUAACUUCGUG
rnacentral:rRNA from 1 species